rnacentral:rRNA from 1 species
GACGAACGCUGGCGGCGUGCUUAACACAUGCAAGUCGAACGGAAAGGCCCUGCUUUUGUGGGGUGCUCGAGUGGCGAACGGGUGAGUAACACGUGAGUAACCUGCCCUUGACUUUGGGAUAACUUCAGGAAACUGGGGCUAAUACCGGAUAGGAGCUCCUGCUGCAUGGUGGGGGUUGGAAAGUUUCGGCGGUUGGGGAUGGACUCGCGGCUUAUCAGCUUGUUGGUGGGGUAGUGGCUUACCAAGGCUUUGACGGGUAGCCGGCCUGAGAGGGUGACCGGCGACAUUGGGACUGAGAGACGGACCAGACUCCUACGGGAGGCAGCAGUGGGGAAUAUUGCACAAUGGGCGGAAGCCUGAUGCAGCAACGCCGCGUGCGGGAUGACGGCCUUCGGGUUGUAAACCGCUUUCGCUUGUGACGAAGCGGGAGUGACGGUAAUGGGUAAAGAAGCACCGGCUAACUACGUG